UACGUAGGUGGCAAGCGUUGUCCGGAUUUACUGGGCGUAAAGAGCGCGCAGGCGGUCGUGCAAGUCGCGUGUGAAAGCCCCCGGCUCAACUGGGGAGGGUCACGCGAUACUGCUCGACUCGAAGGCAGGAGAGGGAAGUGGAAUUCCCGGUGUAGAGGUGAAAUUCGUAGAUAUUGGGAAGAACACCGGUGGCGAAGGCGGCGACCUGGUCCAUUACUGACGCUGAGGCGCGACAGCGUGGGGAGCGAACAGG
rnacentral:rRNA from 1 species